rnacentral:lncRNA from 1 species
UGGAUAAGGGAGACACUGCCUAAGAAGACUUCAGGUUGGUGACAGUCCUGGAAGUCUCCCUGAGGCAGAAAGUUUUACAGUAAAUGAGGAACAGCCACCUUUAUCAGAUAUCUAUUUCUGAAAGCCUGACAUUGGCAGGAGAACUCGACAAAGGCAAAGACCUGCGUUGGCUCUAACAGGAGUACGUUCUGAAAAGUUAAUAUCACACCAGAGACAGUUUAUUUUAAAGGCAGGUUGAAACAGACCUGCUACCCUGCAGACUUGAAUGCAACAAAUGAAAUGCAAACUGAGCUCAGCUCCUGCAAGACCCAUUGAAACUGCCCUCCUAUAAAGGUGAGCUGUGUCCCAGCCUUCAAGGAUGGGUU